GCUACAGAGAUUAGUGCAGACAGAGAAAGGGAAGGGUGAUCAUAUUGGGAAGAGAACAAAUAAGGGGUUCAGUGACCCCCUAGUCUGCCUUUGGGGUACUAACAUGAGCUGUAGGCCCAGAGGAACAACAGGGGCAAAUGGUAUGCAUAAGUGAGCAGUCCUGGGAUAAGUAUGGCCUCCUUCAUUUCUGUGUCUACACCAGUCCUGCAAGGUGGCCAUUCUGAAGCCCACACUGCUUAAAGUGACCAGAUAGUCUCAGAUGACCAUCUUUUCUGCCUUUUCACCCUCACUUAGGGGAGUGCUGUGGCCUCUGGGACUCCAAUGCUCCUGGGAUCCUAGGUGGUUGCAGGCCUAAGAAGUGACUUACUGUGCCUUCAGCUUUAUGACACUAAACACCCUCAACUUGUCGAUGGCUCUUUCAAGGGAGAGAGUCACACGAGUUGACACGUGUGUGUGGACCUGGAAACUGUCCCUUGACACCCCUGGAGGCCCCGUGGCCAGUUGGCUCCAGGUUGUCUUAAAAGCCCAGCGUUUUGCUGCAUUGCUAAGAUGGAGUGGGCACAGCUUCUGUCCCAGCAGGAUCCUAACAGGUGAGAUCCUGCCGUUCAGAAUGUGACAACCCACCUCCACCCCAGCCCCACAGGGGGCUGAGUCUAAGCCUCACAGGGGUCCUCAUUUUAGGGUCUUGAGAUGGCAGCUGCUAGGGGCAAUGGCUUCUUGUUUGUUUGCUUGAGACAGAGUCCCCAACUGCUCCCUUUCCACCCCUUCUCCCUACCGCCAUUCACUCCCCUCUGUCACCUCUGUUUUGGUCUCCUGAGAGGGGUCCCAUGUAGCCCAGGCUGGCUUUGAACUUCUGAUCUUCCUGCUUACCUUCCAAGUAUUGGAAUUACAGGUGUAUACCUCUAUACCUAGCUCUACACUCAACAUUAAAAUUUUUUAUUAUUUAUUUAUGUAUUAUGUAUUAUGUGGCUAGGCCUUAGCGGUGGUCCACACGUUUGACCCCAGCGCUCAGGUGGCAGAGGCAGGUGAGUCUGUGAGUCUGAGCGAGCCUGCUCUACAGAGUGAGUUCCAGGACAGCCAGAGCUACACAGAGGAACUCUUUCUUUUAAAAAAACUAGGGCUGGUGAGAUGGCUCAGCGGUUAAGAGAGCUGACUGCUCUUCCAAAGGUCCUGAGUUCAAAUCCCAGCAACCACAUGGUGGCUCACAACCAUCUUUAAUGAGAUCUGACGCCCUCAGUGUCUGAAGACAGCUACAGUGUACUUACAUAUACUAAUAAAUAGAUAAAUAAGUAAAUAAAUUUUACA
rnacentral:lncRNA from 1 species